UACGUAGGGACCUAGCGUUGUCCGGAAUCAUUGGGCGUAAAGCGCGCGUAGGCGGCCCGGUAAGUCCGUUGUAAAAGUCGAAGGCUCAACCUUCGAAAGCCGAUGGAUACUGCCGGGCUAGAGUCCGGAAGAGGCGAGUAGAAUUCCUGGUGUAGCGGUGGAAUGCGCAGAUAUCAGGAAGAACACCAACGGCGAAGGCAGCUCGCUGGGACGGUACUGACGCUGAGACGCGAAAGCGUGGGGAGCGAACAGG
rnacentral:rRNA from 1 species